CGUGCCUAAUACAUGCAAGUCGAGCGGAACUUAGAAAGCUUGCUUUCUAAGUUUUAGCGGCGGACGGGUGAGUAACACGUGGGCAACCUGCCUAUAAGACUGGGAUAACUUCGGGAAACCGGAGCUAAUACCGGAUAAUAUAAAAGAUCACAUGGUCUUUUAUUGAAAGAUGGCUUCGGCUAUCACUUAUAGAUGGGCCCGCGCCGCAUUAGCUAGUUGGUGAGGUAAUGGCUCACCAAGGCGACGAUGCGUAGCCGACCUGAGAGGGUGAUCGGCCACACUGGGACUGAGACACGGCCCAGACUCCUACGGGAGGCAGCAGUAGGGAAUCUUCCGCAAUGGACGAAAGUCUGACGGAGCAACGCCGCGUGAACGAUGAAGGCCUUCGGGUCGUAAAGUUCUGUUGUUAGGGAAGAACAAGUGCCGUUCGAAUAGGGCGGCACCUUGACGGUACCUCACGAGAAAGCCCCGGCUAACUACGUG
rnacentral:rRNA from 1 species